GAAACGCGAUAGUUAAUGUGAAUUGCAGAAUUUAGUGAAUCAUCGAAUCUUUGAACGCACAUUGCGCCCCUUGGUAUUCCGAAGGGCAUGUCUGUUUGAGCGUCAUUACAACACUUCGUUAACAAUUUUGUUGUCAACGGUUAUGAGCGUGGCUGGUGCACUGGUUUGAAGACCAUUAGCACGCCCUGCUUCAAAUUUAAUAAAGGAUGCUUUGCUAGCCGGGCCUUUGAAACUUUACGUAGUAGUAUUUCACAAACCGUUCAGUGAAAAAAGGUACCGCAUGGCCUGAAAAAUAACGCCCAACCUCUCUAGGUUUGACCUCAGAUCAGACAAGGAUACCCGCUGAACUUAA
rnacentral:misc_RNA from 1 species